UAUUUUGAUUUCUCUGUGGCCGCCAC
rnacentral:piRNA from 1 species